rnacentral:tRNA from 1 species
GGCCGAGUAGCAAAGUGGUUACUGCGACGGCUUUAGGCGCCGUUAUUCGUGGGUUCGAUCCCCACCUUGGUCA